GUCCCUUUGGUGGCAUCCGAUAAAAUUGGAACGAUACAGAGAAGAUUAACAUGAUUAUUGCGCAAGGAUGACAUGCACAAAUCGAGAAAUGGUCUAAAUUGUU